rnacentral:rRNA from 1 species
AUUGAACGCUGGCGGAAUGCUUUACACAUGCAAGUCGAACGGCAGCACGGGGCAACCUGGUGGCGAGUGGCGAACGGGUGAGUAAUACAUCGGAACGUGCCCAAUCGUGGGGGAUAACGUAGCGAAAGUUACGCUAAUACCGCAUACGAUCUACGGAUGAAAGCGGGGGAUCGCAAGACCUCGCGCGAAUGGAGCGGCCGAUGUCAGAUUAGGUAGUUGGUGGGGUAAAGGCUCACCAAGCCGACGAUCUGUAGCUGGUCUGAGAGGACGACCAGCCACACUGGGACUGAGACACGGCCCAGACUCCUACGGGAGGCAGCAGUGGGGAAUUUUGGACAAUGGGCGCAAGCCUGAUCCAGCCAUUCCGCGUGCAGGAUGAAGGCCUCGGUUGUAACUAGCUUUUGUACGGAACGAAACGGUUCUACUCUAAUACAGGGG